GUACCGUACGAACGUUAUUCGGAAUCACUGGGCUUAAAGGGUGCGUAGGCGGUGCGGUAAGUUGGGUGUGAAAUCCCUCGGCUCAACCGAGGAACUGCGCCCAAUGCUGCCGUACUCGAGGGAGACAGAGGUAAGCGGAACUGAUGGUGGAGCGGUGAAAUGCGUUGAUAUCAUCAGGAACACCAGUGGCGAAAGCGGCUUACUGGGUCUCUUCUGACGCUGAGGCACGAAAGCUAGGGUAGCGAACGGGGGAUUAGAUACCCCGGUAGUCCUAGCUGUAAACGAUGAGCACUUGGUCGGAGACUCCUCCAUAGGUUUCCGGUCGUAGCGAAAGUGUUAAGUGCUCCGCCUGGGGAGUAUGGUCGCAAGGCUG
rnacentral:rRNA from 1 species